GAUAGAGUUUGAUCCUGGCUCAGAUUGAACGCUGGCGGCAKGCYUWACACAUGCAAGUCGAGCGGGGAAGAGUAGCUUGCUACUUUACCUAGCGGCGGACGGGUGAGUAAUGCUUAGGAAUCUGCCUAUUAGUGGGGGACAACAUCUCGAAAGGGAUGCUAAUACCGCAUACGUCCUACGGGAGAAAGCAGGGGACCUUCGGGCCUUGCGCUAAUAGAUGAGCCUAAGUCGGAUUAGCUAGUUGGUGGGGUAAAGGCCUACCAAGGCGACGAUCUGUAGCGGGUCUGAGAGGAUGAUCCGCCACACUGGGACUGAGACACGGCCCAGACUCCUACGGGAGGCAGCAGUGGGGAAUAUUGGACAAUGGGGGGAACCCUGAUCCAGCCAUGCCGCGUGUGUGAAGAAGGCCUUUUGGUUGUAAAGCACUUUAAGCGAGGAGGAGGCUACCGAGAUUAAUACUCUUGGAUAGUGGACGUUACUCGCAGAAUAAGCACCGGCUAACUCUGUGCCAGCAGCCGCGGUAAUACAGAGGGUGCAAGCGUUAAUCGGAUUUACUGGGCGUAAAGCGCGCGUAGGUGGCCAAUUAAGUCAAAUGUGAAAUCCCCGAGCUUAACUUGGGAAUUGCAUUCGAUACUGGUUGGCUAGAGUAUGGGAGAGGAUGGUAGAAUUCCAGGUGUAGCGGUGAAAUGCGUAGAGAUCUGGAGGAAUACCGAUGGCGAARGCAGCCAUCUGGCCUAAUACUGACACUGAGGUGCGAAAGCAUGGGGAGCAAACAGGAUUAGAUACCCUGGUAGUCCAUGCCGUAAACGAUGUCUACUAGCCGUUGGGGCCUUUGAGGCUUUAGUGGCGCAGCUAACGCGAUAAGUAGACCGCCUGGGGA
rnacentral:rRNA from 1 species